CUGCCCUUCACUCUGGGACAAGCCCUGGAAACGGGGUCUAAUACCGGAUACGACCUGCCUCCGCAUGGGGGUGGGUGGAAAGCUCCGGCGGUGAAGGAUGAGCCCGCGGCCUAUCAGCUUGUUGGUGGGGUAAUGGCCUACCAAGGCGACGACGGGUAGCCGGCCUGAGAGGGCGACCGGCCACACUGGGACUGAGACACGGCCCAGACUCCUACGGGAGGCAGCAGUGGGGAAUAUUGCACAAUGGGCGAAAGCCUGAUGCAGCGACGCCGCGUGAGGGAUGACGGCCUUCGGGUUGUAAACCUCUUUCAGCAGGGAAGAAGCGAGAGUGACGGUACCUGCAGAAGAAGCGCCGGCUAACUACGUGCCAGCAGCCGCGGUAAUACGUAGGGCGCAAGCGUUGUCCGGAAU
rnacentral:rRNA from 1 species